rnacentral:rRNA from 1 species
UACAGAGGGGGCAAGCGUUGUUCGGAAUUACUGGGCGUAAAGGGCGCGUAGGCGGCCUGCUAAGUCGAACGUGAAAUCCCCGGGCUCAACCCGGGAACUGCGUCCGAUACUGGUAGGCUUGAAUUCGGGAGAGGGAUGCGGAAUUCCAGGUGUAGCGGUGAAAUGCGUAGAUAUCUGGAGGAACACCUGUGGCGAAAGCGGCGCACUGGACCACAACUGACGCUGAGGCGCGAAAGCUAGGGGAGCAAACAGG